rnacentral:rRNA from 1 species
GACGAACGCUGGCGGCGUGCUUAACACAUGCAAGUCGAACGAAGUGGCGAACGGGUGAGUAACGCGUAAUCAACCUGCCCUUCAGAGGGGGACAACAGUUGGAAACGACUGCUAAUCCCGCAUACUGAAGGAGGGGAUUGCGUCGGAUUAGCUAGGUGGGAGGGUAACGGCCCACCAAGGCGAUGAUCAGUAGCCGGGCUGGAAGGAUUAACGGCCCAAGUGGGACUGAGGAACGGGCCAGACUCCUACGGGAGGCAGCAGUGGGGAAUCUUCGGCAAUGGACGAAAGUCCGACUGAGCAAAGCCGGGGGAGUUAUGACGGCCUUCGGGUUGGAAAGCUCUGUUAAGCGGGACGCGGUACCGGAAUAGAAAGCCACGGCUAACUACGUGCCAGCAGCCGCGGUAAUAC